AGUUAAUGGAUAUUGUUAUAAAGGGGGAUUGGAUAUGAAAGGGUACUAUAAAUUAGUGAGUUCCUGUAAUCCACUUAACUAGUGCCCUAUGAUGGAUAUGUACACUAUUUCCAGUUUUUCAAUGCUAUUUAUUUGCUUUCGUUCCCGAACAUUGCAUUCAUACAAAGCCAUCAAUUCAGACAAAGCAAGGAAAACUUAAACAUGGACCAGAAAUAGGUAACAUUUCAGAAUUCAAAGUUAUAAAGAUAACCAAUCUCAUAUCCUCAUGCAUUUAAAAAGCAAUCUGCCAUUCAAGCAAAUGUACUUAACUUUCACCACCAACAUUGCGCCGCCAGUCCAGGCUGCAUCCUGCACACCUGGAUGACGCGGCAGCCUCCAGAGAACACGCUGCCCCACAGUCUACUGAGUACAGCUGGCAAAGUGAUCCUUUUAAAAUAGAAGGCAGGGCCGGCCCACUGAUGAAACAAAUACUGCAACAGAUGAACCAAAUAUUGAAUAGAUCACCAAAUAGAUGAAACAAGAUUUGGUGCAAGAUGGCAAAAAUACAAAAGCAGAUCGGUUCUUCAAGUAUUUCUGUUUUACACAAACCACGCUGAACAGUGAAUGAAGUAAAUACAACCCGGGAAAUUACCAAUGAAGUAUAUGAGGCCGUAAAAAACAAGAAUAUAUACACCUGGGUUGAGUGGAGAACUGAAUGCAUCUACCUACUUUUUCUUUUUCCCAAAACCCAGUUAAAAUUGCAAUAAUGAAACUAGGAAGGGCUCAAAGGCUACUGGAAUUGUGUCAAAGACACCAAAGUCAGUUUAGAGGGGCAGACAACCCCCCUAAUUUUGGGAUGACUUGAGCAUCAAAAAUAAUGAGUGUGGGGCCAGCCAAGUGGUGCAGCAGUUAAGUUCGCAAGUUCCGCUUCUCAGCAGCCCAGGGUUCCCGGUUCAGAUCCUGGGUGCAGACAUGGCACCGCCUGGCAAGCCAUGCUGUGGUAGGCGUCCCACAUACAAAGUAGAGGAAGAUGAGCACACAUGUUAGCUCAGGGCCAGGCCUCCUCAACAAAAAGAGGAGGAUUGGUGGUAGUUAGCUCAGGGCUAAUCUUCCUCAAAAAAAAUAAUGAGUGCAAUUGCUGGUAACAUGUUAACUAAUAAGAGUCCAUGAGUCCAGUGACAGGAGGAAGGAGGGACAGAGUGAGAGAUUAGAUGAUUAUUUUUGCAACUACAGAAUAAUUGAUUCAGGCAAAGAUCAUUCAUUGAUGCUAAAACAGUUAGGUGAAAAGUCUGGAACUGGAUCUCCACACAGACACAAAGCAUCGCCCCUCAGAUUGCCUGCUCGCUAGAAAGAGUAUAAAAUACCUUUCCAGUGGGGUUUCCUCGGCACCUAACGGAAAUGUACCCUUUCUCUGCAGAACUGGAUUUGAGCUUGCCUCUCACUUUUUCAAAACUAAACACACAUUUUUAAGGACACACGUAAGUGCCAGAGAGUGAUGAACACAAAAACCAGAAUCACAGUUCUCUCUGGGAACGCAGAAAGAGUAUCCAACCAGGGACUCCCAAGAGGACUUCUGGGUUGCUGGAAAUGAUAUGCUGGUGUUUUUAUUUCUGGUCUUUAAACCGUACAAUGCUUUACGUACUCAUGGUCACCAAUGUUUAAUGACACCCAAUGAUCCCCACUCCCUAGUACACACACCUUUGUGUAAUCACCUCCCCU
ensembl:lncRNA